rnacentral:rRNA from 1 species
AGUGAACGCUGGCGGUAGGCCUAACACAUGCAAGUCGAACGGCAGCACAGUAAGAGCUUGCUCUUACGGGUGGCGAGUGGCGGACGGGUGAGGAAUACAUCGGAAUCUACUUUUUCGUGGGGGAUAACGUAGGGAAACUUACGCUAAUACCGCAUACGACCUACGGGUGAAAGCAGGGGAUCUUCGGACCUUGCGCGAUUGAAUGAGCCGAUGUCGGAUUAGCUAGUUGGCGGGGUAGAGGCCCACCAAGGCGACGAUCCGUAGCUGGUCUGAGAGGAUGAUCAGCCACACUGGAACUGAGACACGGUCCAGACUCCUACGGGAGGCAGCAGUGGGGAAUAUUGGACAAUGGGCGCAAGCCUGGUCCAGCCAUACCGCGUGGGUGAAGAAGGCCUUCGGGUUGUAAAGCCCUUUUGUUGGGAAAGAAAAGCAGCAGGUUAAUACCCCGCUGUUCUGACGGUACCCAAAGAAUAAGCACCGGCUAACUUCGUG